rnacentral:antisense_RNA from 1 species
AGGGAUAGCUGGUGUGCGUGCAGCGAAAGGCGCUAACUGCCCUGGACGUGGAGACCCGCGGACUGGACGUGGAGACCCGCGGACUGGACGUGAGAGGCGGGCAGGGGCAGUUGGGGCAGCUGCCCCUACAACACUGAAGAAUUGGAACAGGAAAGAGUGUGGGGGUAGGGGACGGGGACUCUUUGUCUGCAGUUGGAAUGCGCGGAGGGGCAUGGUGGAAUGUGUCGCGUCCCGGGACUGGACGACAGGAGGCAUGUUCUGCGCUAGCACCGUGACUUUGUUCCCAGCGUGGGGACUGUGGGAGAGAUGGAGAGAGACUGGUACAGAAAUGGUGAGACAAGGAGAGAGCCAUAAAGAGGAAGACAGAGAGAAAGAAGACAAAUGCAUAAAGAGGUUCAGAGACGUGUGACUGGAGAUCGAAGGCCUGGUUUUAGGGCUAGCGAACACCUUCUCACUUUGGUUUUGGUCCACAGAAGACUGGUGAUACAGACUCCUUAUCAGUGUAAUUGUGGGGACUGGUCACCAGCUCUUGCUUGAGCUUUUCCAGAAGAAACUUCACUACUGAAAUAUUCCAAGAGGACUUGAUGCUGCCACAAAGAGAAGAGAAUGAAUAAAGUUGUCGGCUUUGUAAGAGCCAGACAAACAGAGAUACCCAGCACUAAUCAACUUUGUGGCAAAUCCCUCCACAGCCUAAGAAGGAUCCCUAGCAGCAAUCCUCAAGAGCCUCAGCAGAUUGGAGAGAUGCCUCUUUGAUUCCGUCCCAGAGCUAAAGAUUGGAACAACUGUCCCUCCCCCUCUAAACCCACAGUCUGCCACAAGAACAUUUUAAACCUUCCUCCAUGAUGGGCAGCAAAACUCCCUGACUAGUCCUCCAGAUCCUUCUCAAGCACAGAAUAGAGAGAGCAUGAUGGUGAGUGAGCAUACUGUCCUUCCUGCAGGUCUUCAGUUCCACCACACUCUCCUAAGGGAAGGAAGAAGCCAGGCCUCAAUGCUGUACCUCUCUCUGGAGGCAGCAGGCACAAGUGGAAUGGAAGUGAUGG